ACAAGGUGACCUUAUAGUUGGGAUAAGCCUGGGAAACUGGGUCUAAUACCGGAUAUGACUCCUCAUCGCAUGGUGGGGGGUGGAAAGCUUUAUUGUGGUUUUGGAUGGACUCCCGGCCUAUCACCUUGUUGGUGAGGUAAUGGCUUACCAAGGCGACAACGGGUAGCCGGCCUGAGAGGGUGACCGGCCCCGCUGGGACUGAAACACGGCCAAAACUCCUACGGGAGGCAGCGGGGGGGAAUAUUGCACAAUGGGCGCAAGCCUGAUGCAGCGCCGCCGCGGGAGGGAUGACGGCCUUCGGGUUGAAAACUUUUUUCAGUAGGGAAGAAGCGAAAGUGACGGUACCUGCAAAAAAACCGCCGGCUAACUACGUGCCACCACCCGCGUUAAUCCGUAGGGCGCAAGCGUUAUCCGGAAUUAUUGGGCGUAAAAAGCUCGAAGGCGGUUUGUCGCGCCUGCCGGGAAAGUCCGGGGUUCAACUCCGGAUCUGCGGUGGGUACGGGAAGACUAAAGUGAUGUAGGGGAGACUGGAAUUCCUGGUGUAGCGGUGAAUUGCGCAGAUAUCAGGAGAACCACCGAUGGCAAAGGCAGGUCUCUGGGCAUUAGCUGACCCUGAGAAGCAAAAGCAUGGUGAGCGACCAGGAUUAGAUACUCUGGUAGUCCAUGCCGUAAACGUUGGGCACUACGUGUGGGAGACAUUCCACUCUUUCCGAGCCUAACUACGCAUUAAGUGCCCCGCCCUGAGGAGUACGGCCCCAGGCAUAAAACUCAAUUGAUUGAACGGGGACCCGCACAGACAGCGGAGCUAUG
rnacentral:rRNA from 2 species